UACGUAGGCAGCAAGCGUUGUUCGGAAUUACUGGGCGUAAAGAGUGUGUAGGCGGUGUUCCAAGUCUGGUGUGAAAUCUCCCGGCUCAACUGGGAGGGUGCAUUAGAAACUGGAAUGCUAGAGGAUGGGAGAGGUAAGCGGAAUUCCUGGUGUAGCGGUGAAAUGCGUAGAUAUCAGGAGGAACACCUGUGGUGUAGACAGCUUACUGGACCAUUUCUGACGCUGAGACACGAAAGCGUGGGUAGCAAACAGG
rnacentral:rRNA from 1 species